GGCCAAUGUGGCGUAGUGGUUUGAGCCUUGGACUUUGACUCUGGAGCGCAGGGUUCGAAUCCCUGCUUGGCCA